GAUGAAGAACGUAGCGAAAUGCGAUAAGUAAUGUGAAUUGCAGAAUUCAGUGAAUCAUCGAAUCUUUGAACGCACAUUGCGCCCCUUGGUAUUCCGAGGGGCAUGCCUGUUCGAGCGUCAUUAUAACCCCUCAAGCUCAGCUUGGUGUUGGGGCCUCCUGCACUGGCAGCCCUUAAAAUCAGUGGCGGCGCCAUCUGGCUCUAAGCGUAGUAAUUCUUCUCGCUAUGGAGUCCUGGUGGAUGCUUGCCAUCAACCCCCAAUUUUUCUAUGGUUGACCUCGGAUCAGGUAGGGAUACCCGCUGAACUUAAGCAUAUCAAUAAGCGGAGGA
rnacentral:misc_RNA from 1 species